GUCCAUGUAGUCUAACAGGUAAGACAUUCACUUUUCGUGUGGAGUUAUGUCGGUUCGAAUCCGAUCGUGGAUA
rfam:Wallemia ichthyophaga EXF-994 unplaced genomic scaffold scaffold27, whole genome shotgun sequence.